rnacentral:lncRNA from 1 species
GACCUCCCUGAACCUCCCACCACUGUUUUAGAGGGAGCUCAGUGUUGGUCUGGUCUUUGGAGAUAUGGAUGAGCUUUGCAUUACGGAGAAACCUUUGGAUUUGGUCAGGUGGCCUGGAUUCUGGAGGCAGCCACAUCACAUACAUCUGAGCUUCAACCACAGGAAACUCAUACCGCUGACGGCACAUCCAAGUAUCUCCUGUUUCUGGCUCUGUGCUAAGUGCUCUGCCCAUGUUAUCUGAUUUACAUGCAUAAUCCCCUGGACAGUGAGCACAUUGAGAAGAAGCAGACAUCGUGGUCAAGAGCAGAACCUCUGGAGUCAGAAGAACUUCAUGAAUAAGGAAUAAAUUACCUGAGACAACAUUACUGCUGCAUGGAGUUCUCAACUGAAGGCAUUCUGUGCUGCGGCAUUUUUUUAACCAAAUCCCAUUAAAUGACCAGUGUUGCACAUAUACAAAAUUGGAUAGGUGGCUAAUGAUGCAUGAGCACAUUUUAUAGGAAUCCACUUGACCUGCAAGGGAUCAAUUCCAUGAUUUGAUUAAAGGCUUAACCUUUCAGAGUCCAGCUUUGACCCUGUGUUCACAGAUAAAUCUCCAAAGCUGAUAGAUUCUGACAUUUAAGACUUGGAUUUAAGGAAAGGUGAUAUCCCAUUUUCCAUUUUUCUAGUAGAAAUGAAAUAGACCCAGCUGCGCCAUUAAUUAGCUGCAUCAUUUUGUAUAACUCUCAUAUGCUCUCUUGGCCUCAGUCUCCCCAUUGGUAAAAUAAUAGAGUUAGGCUUAGGAAGCAUGUUUACAACUUGGCUUCUCAGAUUCUUGGGGUUUUAUAAAGGACUUCCAGUGGCUUCUGGGGAAGUCCAGUGGGCAAGACCCUGUCCCCACUUCUCUCAGAAAUCUCCAUUGUCAUUGCUGUAACUUCUUGGAUUUCACACAAGAUAUGAGUUGAACACAGAGUUUUAUGGAAAAAAAUAGGGUGCACCAAACCCUAGACUAGAUGACAUCUCUAUUUAAUACUAAUGAUGAUAUUUGGAAGCCGUGGGCCAAGUGUGAGAUAAAACUGAACAGGAAUACACAUAAGAUUCUGCACCCAAUCCCCUAAAGGAAGUCCAAGUAGAGGAUAAAGGAUGUGCUUAGAGAGACACAAAUGAGAGCUACUUAGGUGUUUUGGCUGGGGAAAAGGUCAGUAUGAACUAAGAUUAUGAUGUUAUCACAAGAAAACAAGUCAAAGUGGCUAACAGUAAAAGCAACGCCAGCACUGCCAUAGUAAACUGAUGUGUUUGACGGCUAAAUUAACAGGAAGAACACCUUCAGAACCAGAAAGAGGACGAAAUUAAGGCACAGGAAUGUUUAGUAACUGGAUCAACAUUUCACAUCAAAAGGCAGAGCAAGUGAAAAUACGACUAUGAAUUUGCAACUACCUAGGUCCAGGCCAAAGAACCUCUUUGAAGGAGCCAUCUUGAAGCUUUUGGCUUUAUCUUGAAGCCUAGGCAAGUUCUUUACCUGCUCCUUUAAACAUUAAUAUGAAUUGAUGUAUCUUUCCAUGUAUUGCCAGCCACAUGAUACAGGAACUUAAAGCAAUGGCUUUUUAGAUUAUGCAAGAAAAGAGAGUAACCAUCCUGAAUGCUCCUAUGAAAUCAGGCAGCCAUGAACAUUUUACUUUCUGUCAAAUGAUGGCAGAAAUGCAAAGGAGAGAAUAACUCCUGGGUGCAUGAUCUUGAACUUCACAGUGACCUAGCCUACCGUGAACAGGGUCAAAUAGUAUCUGCAUCCUGAACCAUGAGAUCACUCUUCUCUCCUCUUUUGAAUAAGUCAGAAAUUAGGUGACAGAGAAGCAAGACAAUGAGGUGGAAACCUCUCUUAUUGCCUCCAGCUGCAUUUAUUCCUGAAAGCCACUUUAAGUGGACUAUUGCAAAAUCAAGUAUGUAGAAGGAGGAUGGAAGUCAGAACUUGAUCCUGAGGCAGUUAUCCUAUAUCUGAAAAGCUGUGACUGGGGAAUGAAAGAUGAGUCUUGUUGAGGAUGGAUGAGAGGUAGAGUCACAGCCAAUGAAUACAGAAAAGCAGAUUUAGGUUUGCGGUCAUCAAACCAGUCCAGCAAUGGAAUGGGCUGCGUUGUGAGGUAGUAGUCUUGGGCAUGGAAGCUAUUCCGUGACUAGAUGAUGCCAGGCAAGGAUCCUAUAGAUCAGCUCUAUUCAAAAUGUGGUCUGAAUAUUGACACCAGUCUACACAUUGUUACUGGUCUGCAGCGAAGUAAAUUCAGAAAUUGAGAGCAAGAAUUUAUAAGGUUUUCUAGCA